rnacentral:lncRNA from 1 species
GCUCGGUGCACAAACACCAUAUAAUACACGAAUUUGAUCUCAUGGUGGCAUGUAGCCAAGACAAAAGAAUUAGCAUCUAAGCAUUUGUAGUCUAAUUACAUCCAUAAGGAAAAGUAUUGUAUAGAUUGAUUCUAUGAAUUUAGAUAUGGUGCCAUUUGAUUUUCAGAUAAGCCCAAAAUGAAAAUGAUUGAUACUGUAUAUUUAUGUUCUUUGAUACACUGAAAAAGCCA